rnacentral:rRNA from 1 species
UACGUAGGGGGCAAGCGUUGUCCGGAAUCAUUGGGCGUAAAGCGCGUGUAGGCGGUUCAGUAAGUCUGCUGUGAAAGUCCAGGGCUCAACCUUUGAAUGUCGAUGGAUACUGCCGGGCUAGAGUCCGGAAGAGGCGAGUGGAAUUCCUGGUGUAGCGGUGGAAUGCGCAGAUAUCAGGAGGAACACCAAUAGCGAAGGCAGCUCGCUGGGACGGUACUGACGCUAAGGCGCGAAAGCGUGGGGAGCGAACAGG